ACUUGUCCGUCAUUUUGACUCUGUAUUUGCAUUGCUUUCAAUUGAUGGCGCAAUUUAAAAUGCAUUUCAUGGAAGACCCGGUGCUUUCUGAUGCCGCAAACUCACUGGAUCUGUUGCAUAAAAGGCGUUAUGAGGAAAAGCUUCGUUCUAUACAGUCGCCAGAUCCAUAUUUGAUGCCCAAAUCGAUGUUUUUCGACCCACUGUCUUCGCCCUGUCUGCCUGACAUCUGCUACGCUGAUAUUUAAAAUGAUCUUGUCCACACAAAAUCGGCCUAUUCUCACGAAAAACUUCAAGAGCUUGGACGCUUAUAAAUACUUCGUUGCUGGUUGGGUGAAACAGGUCCUCGUUUGGCAGGAAUCUAUCUUGUGCUUGGAAAGUAAACCGCUCCAAUAGGAGCCGUCGGUGCAGAUGACGGCGGGUGAUGGGGAUUGCCGGCAGCCUGCAAACCUAAAUGCGCGUCCUGCUGCUGGUACCAAUUCUGGUGCCCAUACUCAUCCAUGUAGACGGAGGAGUUGUCCACCGUGGGCUGAUAUGAUUCUUGCCCCCUGCUGAAACCUCCAGUGAACCUCUCCCUAAAGCCGUAAAGACACCAAGGCGCGCUACCAACCAACCAGCCCGAAAACAAACAAACAAACUUAACAUGCCAUUCUGCUUCAAGCUUGGUUACUCUGGCAUGCUAACAAAGCAAAGCUUUUAGCUAGCUAGCUAGCUACAAGUGAAGUUGUAGCACUCAGGGAGUGAGAAAAAAGAUGUCCAGAAAACCAGUAAAAUACCUGACAGAGAAGGAAAUACAAGAUCUUCUGUUCAGGGAAAGCAGUGAUGAAGAUGUUGAUCAUGUGGAAGCAGAGGUGAUGUAUGACAGUGACAGUGAUAGAGACUAUAUACCAGAAUCAAGUGAUGAUGAUGAGGAGGAUGAUAGUGAUUGCAUUGAGCCUAGCACUUCAGGUCAUAAGAGAAAAAAAAUACGACAUCGUGAGUGUGGUGACCAUACCACCAGACAAAUGGUCGACCAGUGUGCCCUCGCCAUUACUACCCUGCCUGUACCGACUGCAUGUAAGACAUAAGGCAAGUUAGAGACGUCCUAUAAUUUGCAUCAAUUAGUAUAAUGACCAUGAAUAAACAUCACUUAAUGCUAAUUUCCAAGGAAAUGCAUAUAUUCAAUAAAAUUCGGUAAUUUUUCCCCUCUCAAAAAAUGCCAUUUUUUGUCUCUCUCUCUCUCAGUUGUCAGUGAUGCAGGAAGACUGUGCCUUCACCAGACUAGGCUCACAUGUCCCAGGAAUGGGUGGACCAAAGAGCAAGUUCUAAGCUCCAUUAUCUUUUUUGUUAGGAAAUGUUUCAUUAAGGACUUCCUGAUUUUUCAAAAAUUUUGCUGCCUUUUUAAAGGGUACCCCAUGGUACCUCUUUUUUAUUUUAUGUGUUAUUGUAAAUUGGUAAAAUAAAGAAGAGUACUACAAUUUGGCAUAGUUUUUCCACUUUUAACAGAAAUUGAUGAAAACUGUAAUUUAUCGGGGAUAAUAUAUCGGGUAAAACAUACCCAACGUUAGUGAUGGAGUAACUAAUUUAACAUUAGUGUUCUAGGGUUAAGCUAUUAUGUUUUUUUCUUUUCGUAAUUUAGUUUAUAGGUAUAUUUAGCAGUUUUUUUGUGGGGAUAUGUGUUUGAACAAUUUGUUAAGAGCAUUGUAAAAAAAUGUUAGCAUUUUAUAGCAUUCAAACUAGCGACUUUUGCUAUGCAAGUUAGCAAAUUGUUUUGUUGUACAGUACUUGGAUCAUUUCUUUUUCAGACCGUUUGAGGCUAAGGUCAGGUAUUUUUAAAUGACAGUGCAUAGUUUGAAUAAACACUUGGCAAUUUUAUUUUGUUUCCGGUAGAAAACACA